CAAUGUAUCUGAAGCCACGAUCUGGAUAUGAUUAGUCAGUGUGUUAGUGAUUGCU
rfam:Otolemur garnettii contig069121, whole genome shotgun sequence.